rnacentral:rRNA from 1 species
GACGAACGCUGGCGGCGUGCUUAACACAUGCAAGUCGAACGAAGUGGCGAUCGGGUGAGUAACGCGUAAUCAACCUGCCCUUCAGAGGGGGAAAACAGUGGGAAAAGACUGCUAAUACCGCAUACGGAAGGAGGGGCUUGCGUCUGAUUAGCUGGUUGGAGGGGUAACGGCCCACCAAGGCGAGUAGAAGUAGCCGGUCUGAGAGGAUGAACGGCCACAUUGGGACUGAGACACGGCCCAGACUCCUACGGGAGGCAGCAGUGGGGAAUCUUCCGCAAUGGACGAAAGUCUGACGGAGCAACGCCGCGUGAGUGAUGACGGCCUUCGGGUUGUAAAGCUCUGUUAAUCGGGACGCGGUACCGGAAUAGAAAGCCACGGCUAACUACGUGCCAACCGCCGCGGUAAUAC